rnacentral:rRNA from 1 species
AUUGAACGCUGGCGGCAGGCCUAACACAUGCAAGUCGAACGAGUGGCGGAAGGGUGAGUAAUGUCUGGGAAACUGCCUGAUGGAGGGGGAUAACUACUGGAAACGGUAGCUAAUACCGCAUACCAUCGGAUGUGCCCAAGGGGGAUUAGCUAGUAGGUGGGUUAACGGCUCACAGAGGCGACGAUCCCUAGCUGGUCUGAGAGGAGGACCAGCAACACUGGAACUGAGACACGGUCCAGACUCCGACGGGAGGCAGCAGUGGGGAAGAUGGCACAAUGGGCGCAAGCCUGAUGCAGCCAUGCCGCGUGUGUGAAGAAGGCCUUCGGGUUGUAAAGCACUUUCAGCGGGGAGGCGUUACCCGCAGAAGAAGCACCGGCUAACUCCGUGCCAGCAGCCGCGGUAAUAC